rnacentral:rRNA from 1 species
AGAGUUGAUCAUGGCUCAGGAUGAACGCUAGCGACAGGCUAACACAUGCAAGUCGAGGGGCAGCAUAAAAGUAGCAAUACGUUGGUGGCGACCGGCGCACGGGUGAGUAACGCGUAUGCAACCUACCUAUCAGAGGGGAAUAACCCGGCGAAAGUCGGACUAAUACCGCAUAAAACAGGGGCACCGCAUGGUGAUAUUUGUUAAAGAAAUUCGCUGAUAGAUGGGCAUGCGUUCCAUUAGGUAGUUGGUGAGGUAACGGCUCACCAAGCCGACGAUGGAUAGGGGAACUGAGAGGUUGGUCCCCCACACUGGUACUGAGACACGGACCAGACUCCUACGGGAGGCAGCAGUGAGGAAUAUUGGUCAAUGGGCGGGAGCCUGAACCAGCCAAGUCCGCGUGAAGGAAGAGGGAUCUAUGGUUCGUAAACUUCUUUUGCAGGGGAAUAAAGUGCAGGACGUGUCCUGUUUUGUAUGUACCCUGAGAAUAAGGAUCGGCUAACUCCGUGCCAGCCGCCGC